UAAAAGAAUCCUUUCUUUUUUCUUUGUUGAAACUUUCAUCGCUCUUUCUUUAAGUCAAAAUACAUCCUUUCUCGGUUCUAUUUCUUUGCUUCAUUUCCAUUAUCCUUUCAGCGAGUUUAGAGAUGGAGAAUGGGGGACUUCGGUGAGGGUAUUGUUCGAUGUAGGAUGUUAGAGGACGAUGGAAGGUUGAUCCUAGUCAAAAGUCAGGUAGCGAGUGUGUGACGGAGAGGGUUACGGGUGAUAGAAGGAAACUGAAGGGUUGGUUUGGAUCAAGGGUAUGUUAAAAUGGAGGGCAGGCUUGCUUGUGGCUUAGCUGAAAGUGUUGGGAGGAUGGUGCAAUUAAUGGCGGCUUCAAGCAAAGAUGGAAGGUGUCGUAUGGAUUCAAAGGUGAAGGGAGGCUUUGGUUAGUGAUAGAAAACACAACUCAAACAAGAAUUACAAGAUAAACACGUUGUUUAUAAGCAGCUUAUUUACUUACAACAAAAGCUGUUGAAAAAUAGCUGUUUUAUGGUAAGCAAUUGCAGGAAUAGUUUAAAUUGUUGCAUGGACCCUUGGAUGUUGCAUUUCCAAGAAUUUCAACAAAGUCAACUAGCUCAAGAGGGAGAAUAGACACCCAACUUCGACCGUAACCGAAAGAGGCAGCUGAAAAUGGUUUGGUAAGAAUGUGAUUCACCUGAACAGAUCCAUCCUGAUCAGACUUCUGGUGGGUGUCAGGGAUGAAUUUGAGCUAGAGGGUAGGUGCACAUGUUGGCCAAAUUGAAAACAUAAUUUAUUAAAUUGCAUACGCUGAGAAAUAUAAAAUUUGUCAUUGCUAUUAAGACACUUAUAGUCAUGAUAAGAAGAACUGUACCCAAGAAAUGUGCAAUGCUAUGACCGAAAGGUAAAUUUGUGUUGAUUAAAGGUAUGUGUCAGAAGAAAACAUUGGCGCCGCAAAGACAGGGAAAAUUAUAGUUUGGCUUGCUGUCAAAGAGCUUAUCAUAGGGGGAAUUUCCAUCAAGAAUCUUCAUGGCAACCUAUUAAUGAGCUCCAUGGUUUGAAGUCAUAAGCCUCUUUGAUAGUCAAUCUCAGCUCAGCCCACCACUGAUAGGGAAGAAGACGAACGAUGAAUCCAACGCAAGCGAGAGCGGCUGAAUAAUUUAAAGCUCGGAGUCUA